rnacentral:rRNA from 1 species
AUGAGAAGGAAAAAGAAGAAAUCACGGAGAAAGAAUACGCGUCAUCAUGAAGAGACUGGUAAUGAUACGGAGGUUGAUGAUCCGGAGAGUGAUGGAAGGAGUGUUCACUCGGAGCUUGCUGAUUUAGAUAAAGAGGAAGCAAGUGGUGAAGCAGGCAUUGUUUCUGCAAGCACUGGAGAUGAUACAUGGUUAUCUAUUGCUCGUGAGAUGAGAAUUAACAAAUUAAAACCGAAUGUAUUCUCUGGAGGUAUUGUGAUGCAAUACAGUAUUCAAAAUAUUGAGGAAGCACCAGUAGAAGGCAAACUCUAUCAAGGGAGUUUUUGUUUUCAGCAUGAUAUUGAUGGAUCAACAUCUACCGAGUGCUCUUUCCUGAUAGCAGAAAAUCUUAAUCAUGCGAAGGAAAUAUACAAGUCAUCAGUUGCUGUAUCCCAUGAAGGGAUUGCUAAAGCUUAUUUCUUCACCUAUUGCAUUCCAUUGAAAAAACAUGUUGUGGUAUAUGAACCUCUGGAAUAUUAUAAAAUGGAGACCAUGGACUCUAUUUGCUUCAACAUUAAAUCACUAAAGUUUAAGUGGCUAGACAAUAUAAGAAAUAUUUUUGGCAGCCUUGAGUCUCUUCAUACGAUGCGACUAAGCCAUCCUUGCACAGUUGAUAUACACAGCUAUAUGUGGUCCAAGAGAGAUUCUUCUAAGUACUCCACAAGAUUAGUAGGUGCCCAUGGAAAAAUAGGAAAAGAUGGCAGAGUAGAUGACUCAGGUUCAACAGAGAGAAAUGAACGCCGAGGUGUGUUGUCGUUUCUGGAGCUACUAAAGAUUACAGGUUGCGAAGAUUAUCCGUCACUAAAAGAGCUUGUUGAACAGAGCCUCUGUGGUAAAACAAUUCUCGGACAUCCUUUGCUAAUCAAGGAAGAUGCUGAUAAAAUCAUGUGCUAUUAUGAGUUUCAGCAGAGAAUGCAUGAGUUAACACCUAAGCAAGCUAAUCAGUUGAAAGAGAAACUCAAUAAACAAUUCCCUGGGUUGUCAACUAGUUGGAAAGAGAAAGUGAAACCAGUAACUAUCUGA